rnacentral:rRNA from 1 species
UACGUAGGGACCAAGCGUUGUUCGGAUUUACUGGGCGUAAAGGGCGCGUAGGCGGCGCGGUAAGUCACUUGUGAAAUCUCUGAGCUUAACUCAGAACGGCCAAGUGAUACUGCAGUGCUAGAGUGUGGAAGGGGCAAUCGGAAUUCUUGGUGUAGCGGUGAAAUGCGUAGAUAUCAAGAGGAACACCUGAGGUGAAGACGGGGUUGCUGGGCCAACACUGACGCUGAGGAGCGAAAGCAUGGGGAGCGAACAGG